rnacentral:rRNA from 1 species
UACGUAGGCAGCAAGCGUUGUUCGGAGUUACUGGGCGUAAAGGGUGCGUAGGCGGCGGGGCAAGUCGGAUGUGAAAUCUCAGGGCUCAACCCUGAAACUGCAUUCGAUACUGCCUUGCUCGAGGACUGGAGAGGAGAUUGGAAUUCACGGUGUAGCAGUGAAAUGCGUAGAUAUCGGGAGGAACACCUGUGGCGAAGGCGGCCACCUGGUUGGAUACUGACGCUGAGACGCGAAAGCGUGGGGAGCAAACAGG